rnacentral:lncRNA from 1 species
GAUGCUCUACGAUUUGGAUCGUGGUGUUCUACGAUUCAGAUCAUAGCAUCUUUGACAUCUUUGAACACUACGAUGCUAUCAGUCGAGAACACUGCGAUUUUCCUUAAACCUUUGCACACUACGAUCUUCACUUGCUCGUGUUGUUGACUCUACGUUCCCGAGAGCACACUACAAUCGUUGACUUGUAAACUUCGUGUUUCCUUCAGCAUACUACGAUCGUGGAUAUGGCUCGGCAGACGUUGGGACUACUCUACGAUUUCCGAAGAGUCCCUUCAAGGCAGACAUACUACGAUCUUCAGG